UAGUUUUUACAGAAGUUUAAGCUUGAUUGUCCAAAUCUUCAAGAUGGGCAGGGAUAUUGUUAACGUCGAGGUUGAAAUCGACAAAAAUUGAUGUGGUUCAGGUUGGUUAUAUGAAUUGAAAGCUGGUUUGGGUUGUAAAAUUUAGAGUACGUGAGUUAGAGUAUGAAAAUACCUUCGGGAAAUAGUUUGGGUAGAUUUUCCUCGUUUUCCCCUCCUAAAUGGUUAUGGGUGGACUGCUCUGUUUAUUACAAAAAAAAAACAUGAAAAAAUAUAUCCCAUUUCUUUUAUAACAGUUCAGAAAAACAGUUAAAAAGCAGUUCAUUUGCUAAAUAUUUUUUUUGUUU
rnacentral:lncRNA from 1 species